GGAUGUGAGGGCCAUCUGGCUGCGACAUCUGUCACCCCAUUGAUCGCCAGGGUUGAUUCAGCUGAUCUGGCUGGCUAGGCAGGUGUCCCCUUCCUCCCUCACUGCUCCAUGUACGUCCUCUCGAAGCUGCGCGCUCAGUCGAAGAGGACGACCUUCCCCGAUAGAGGAGGAUCGUUCUUCGGUCAAGGGUAUACGAGUAGCUGCGCUCCCCUGCUAGAACCUCCAAACAAGCUCUCAAGGUCCAAAUGCUGGGAUUACAGAUGUGUGCCACUGGGCGACAUUGUCUUGAAAUAAAUAAUAUAGAGGGCUGCAGAUGUAGUUCAGUGGUA
ensembl:misc_RNA 7SK 7SK RNA